rnacentral:tRNA from 1 species
GGGGAUUUAGCUCAGUGGUAGAGCGCUUGCCUAGCAAGCGCAAGGCCCUGGGUUCGUACCUCAGCUCCA